GUCACCUUCCUAGCGUCUCUCCAAAUCCCCCAAAUCAGAUCGACAUCCCUGGCGGCGGCCGACGCGUUCCUUGGUGGCUGACUCGUUCCUGCCGGCGGAGGGGGCGGCGGAAGGCGGAGGGCGCGCUCCCCGCGGCGGCUGGCGUUUUCCUCGCGGCAGAAGAGAGGGGGCUCUUCCUUGCGGCAGCGGCGGGCGUGUUCCUCGCGACGGCGGCGGCGACGGGCGUGUUCCUCGCGACGGCAGCGGCGGGCUUGUCCCUUGCGGCGGUGGUGGCAGCUCGGCUGCGUGGGGGAGGUGAAGCAGCGGCGGCAACGGCCGCGUGGUCGAAGGGAAGGGGCGCCUAGGGUUCCUCCUUCCCCAACCCCAACCAGCUCUGCAGGAACCGACGCCCCAAGCUCGCCAACGAGAUCUCGCUCUCACCGUCAACACCAGAAAAAGCUUCAACCCGAGAUGACCUUGGAGGAGCAGCGGAAAGCAAUACUCGCGCUAAAGACUGAGAAGAGAAAACUAGUUGGAUCUAAAGAAAAUUCAGUGUACAAAUGCUAAAUGUAAUGUUUGGAUCAUAUUGGGGUCUACUGAUUGGAUCAUAUGUUCAGAUCAGUACUAAACGUGGUACUGUACUUUGCAAAUGCUAGAGUGGUAUUUCCUACUUGCAAAACAAAAUUCAGUUUAGCAUGUAAUGUUUGGAUCAUAAGUUUACAAAUGUUGAUUCUGAA